GGGGGAGGGAGACCGACUGUCUCUGCUCCCAAUACAGAGUCCUGCUGCUGGGGAAAGGAGACUGGGCUCUCUAUUCCCGGUAGGACACUCUGCCGCUGGGGAAUGGAGACUGGGCUCCCAAUUCCCAAAAAAUCACGCUGCCGCUGGGGAGGGAGGACACUGUUCUCCUCUCCCUGGACUUCACACUGCCUUCCCGGCAUAUCACUCUGCUGCUGGGGGGCAGGAACAGCUACCUCUGCCCCCUGUAACUCAGCCUGCCG